CGUGUUAAUAUUUAUCAGGUCCCUGAUGCCAACAGUGGCCAUGAACGAGUACCACAAACAUCAAGGAUGCCUAAUGUUGCUGAAAAUACUCAACCUUCUCACGGUUAUACGGUAUGAUGUUCAAAUAGCAUAUGGAAGAUUUCAAUACUAUGAAGAGUUGCAGGAAUUGUUUGAGGACUAUGCAUUUAGAAACUUAUUAUUGUUGGUAUUCGAUAGGAAUUAGUUACAAUGACAUUAGCUAUUUAGUUUAAGCAUGUGAUUUUAUCCUUUAGUUCGUUGAGACAUUAAUAAUUAGUAUUUGCUUUUGUUUCUUUAGAUUUAAUGAAAUGUAUUGUACUUUUAUAAAUUAAUAAUAGUAUGUUUAAUUA